UUUAUGUUUUUUUUGAAUAUAUGUUUAACAUUUUAAAAUAAAUGAUUUUUUUUUUUUUUUUUUUUUUUUUUUUUAAAUAACAUACUUUUAACGAAAAAAAAAAAAAUAAAAUGAAUAAAAAAUCGAAGAAACAUACAAGUGUAUGGAUACAAAACAAAAUUGUAACAUACGGACACUUGUAUAUAUAAAAAAAUGCAGUAUACGGAUGCUUAAGCACAUAAAAAGUCUAACAUACAGACAUAAAUGAGGGGGGAGGGGGAAAAAAUUACUCUUUUUUUUUUCAGCUUAAUUAUGUUCCAUUUCCUUUUUGAAAAAUGUAACUUCUUUUUAUUAAUUAUAUUUACUAAAAUUAAUUAUUUGAUAUUUGGUAUAUGAUUUUUUUUAUUUUUUAUUUUUAUGUUUUGUUCAAUAGUAAACGUAUAUGUAUAAGUACACGUAUACGUAUACGGAUAUAUUAACAUUCGAUGGCUUGUUUCAUUUUGUUACUUAAUUUUAUUUAAAUUUUUUUUUUUUUAUUUAUUUAUUUAUUUUUUUAUUUAUUUUUUUUUUUUUUUAAACGCUAUUAAAGCUAAAAAUGUACACACUUUUUUUCCCUUUUCUAAUAACAAUAUUGACACAUUAUUCAACUACCUAUUCAAUUUGAUUAAGUUCUUUUCUUUACACAUGUAUAUGUAUUUGUGUGUAUGUAUAUAUAUAUAUAUAUAUAUUUUUUUUUACGCUCUUAGAGCUAUUCUAAUGUAAAUAAAGUUGGCAUACAUCCAAAAAAAAAAAAAAAAAAAAAAAAAAAUGGAAAGCAAUUCUAUUGUACAAAAAAGCAUAUUAAAAACUACAAAUGGUUAGUAUAGAAUAAAAAAAAAAAAAAGGGAAAUAUGUACUAUGCUUCUAUUAUUAACAUUUUAACAUUUUAACAUUUUAACAUUUUAACAUAUAUGUACAUAUGUGCAACUAUACCUAACAAGAGUCACAAUUAUUAUUUUUUUUUUUUUUUUUACCUUUUUAUAGAUAAACAAGAUGGUAAAUCAUCAAGUAGUUAUACAAAAAACUUUUAUAAAAGUUUAAAUAACUACGUACGAGAAUUUGAUAGUAUUGAAAAAAAAGAAAAUAAGAAUGAUGAAUUAAUUAAUGAAGUGUACGACAAACAGAACACACCAACAGUUCAACUAUUUAAUACAAGUUCUAAAGGUGGAAAUCGUUCAAGAUUGUUCGACAACCAGUGGAAAAAGUACAAUUAUAAUUAUAAAAAAUGGAAACGAAAGAAUAAACUAUGAUUAUAUAAAUGCCACCAAUGAAUACUAUAAACCAACAAACGUUGAAGAGAAAGUAACAAACACAGGAAUAACUAAUAAAACCUUUUUUCAGAUAAUAAUGUGUUGCA
rnacentral:lncRNA from 1 species